rnacentral:rRNA from 1 species
ACCCUACGGGAGGCAGCAGUGGGGGAUAUUGCACAAUGGGGGAAACCCUGAUGCAGCGACGCCGCGUGAGUGAAGAAGUAUUUCGGUAUGUAAAGCUCUAUCGGCAGGGAAGAAAAAAAUGACAGUACCUGACUAAGAAGCCCCGGCUAACUACGUGCCAGCAGCCGCGGUAAUACGUAGGGGGCAAGCGUUAUCCGGAUUUACUGGGUGUAAAGGGAGCGUAGGCGGCCAUGCAAGUCAGAAGUGAAAACCCGGGGCUCAACCAUGGGAGUGCUUUUG